CGUGGGGAGGGGCGAGAGUCAGGCCAGGGGGCUAGACCGGGAGGGCCCCAGGAAGAGAACUGGACCUGACAACCAGGAGGCCAGAGGAAGCCUUGAGGAAGGGUCCCCUCACAGGGGCUGGGGUUAUGGAAGUGAGACAGGAGACACCCACCCAAACAGGGCAUCUCUCUGUGCCCCUGAUUCUCUGUACUUGGGAGCAAUUCUCCGUUGUGUUGAGAAUAAUGACCCCAAUGUCCAUCGGGGCAGAGAUUUCUUCAGUUAGCGUCUGAAACAUGUUGGGAGAUAGCCACCUUCUAUUCCCAGGGCUCCCUAGUAAGCCGAGGUUACCCCAUUUUACAGAAGGGAAAACAAGCAGAAGCAGCUCAUCAAAGGACACACAGCACAUGGGAGGCAGAGCUGGGACCAGGGCUAAGGACCCUGGUAGCCAACCCAGCAUUGUCUCCUCCUGACCUUGUCCGCGCUCCAGGUGAUGCUGGGAGUGAAGGUCACCGCCACAAGGGAGUAAGAGCAUCUCUGGUUAGACUUCCUCUCCCCAGGCCUCAGCCCCUCCAUCCAGGAGCCUGAGCUGGGCCUCUGCUUGGCCGUGAUGCCCUCUCUCUGGAUCCACCCAAUGAGGUCAAGAAGGUGCCCCAGCUCUCCCGGCGAGGGCUGGGAUGUCCUGGGUGGAUGCCCACUCUGGUCAGUUGCCAGCAUCUAGACUCCCCACACACCAGCAACUUCAGGAAGGAGGCACAAGGGCAGACAGGCUCUCAGAUGGGCACAAUUCCAGGGCCGUCAUGGCUUCCGGGAGCUUGAUGGGGCCAGAGGAUCGAUGUGCCUAUCUCCCAGGGCUGCUGGCAGGAUUAGAUAGGUUGCCCUUCGAACAGUCACCUGGAAGCAGGGGGAGGAGCCUGUUCAUGUUGGGCGUUGACCAACAAGAACCAGCAAGAGAGAUGAAGAUGGAUCUGCCCUCGCACAGCUGCAGCAGACUCGCACACUUGGAGGCAACAUGUGACGUGGAGAGACACACUUUAUGUCCAUGUUGUUGGGGGAGCAGCCUGUGCCGUCCCUCGCACCACCCCGGACUGCGCCAGCAAACCCCGCUCCAUCCCUCAUCCCUUUAACAUCCCUUGGCCCUUGCGCCAAGCCCUGUGCUCAAGCCAGUGGGUGCAGGUGAAGGAGCUGGGUCCCUGUGCAGGGAGAGACAGAAGCUGUAAGAAGAGGCCAGCAGCCAGACACCCAGCCCCGCCGCUCCCCUGCUGGGUGACCUCGGGCAAGUCACUGCAUUGCUCUGGGCCUGUUUCUUCAUCUGUAAAACGGGAUGAUGCCAACCCUAACCUCCCCCUCGUGGGACCAGUCGAGAGCCACAGCACCUACAGGAGCCCCAGGGUCCUGAGGGAACCACCUUGAGCCUCAGUCUCCUCAUCUGUAAACCGAGGCUGAUGACUCCAGGCCCAUGUCACAGGACCGCAGAGAGAAAUGCCCGACAUUGGGACUGUGGGGUCACAGGAACGUGAUUCCUGACAGCGGGAGCGGGGAGGACGAGGAGGAGGCAGAACAGGAAAAUAUUUUGAAGGCUGGUCUCUAAGUGGCUUUAGGAACCACUAAGCCAGAAUGGCCUGGACAAGGUCAGCUGGUUUGGUGCCCACCUUCCCGCCCAUCGCUGGGCCACAGACUGUCACACAGGUCAGAGCCCCCCAGUCCUCUGCCCUUUCCUGAACCAUCUGGAAGCUGGAAAGUCACUGUCCUGACACAGGUAAUCGGAACACCCAGCCCUGCACUCCAGCCUCUCUGUCACCAGCUGUGUGGCAGGGGGCUGUCCCUUACCUGGUGGGCCCUGGUCCCCAUCUG
rnacentral:lncRNA from 1 species